CCCUGCACGACGCUGUUCCAAUCUCAUUUGCGCAUGUAUUAGCUCUAGAAUUGCCACAGUUAUCCAAGUAGGAUUGUAUCGUCUAAGGAACCAUAACUGAUCUAAUGAGCCAUUCGCAGUUUCACUGUGCUAGAGUUGGUAC